UCUCCUGGAAACGGGUGGUAAUGCCGGAUGCUCCGACUCCUCGCAUGGGGUGUCGGGAAAGAUUUCAUCGGUAUGGGAUGGGGUCGCGUCCUAUCAGGUAGUCGGCGGGGUAACGGCCCACCGAGCCUACGACGGGUAGCCGGCCUGAGAGGGCGACCGGCCACAUUGGGACUGAGAUACGGCCCAGACUCCUACGGGAGGCAGCAGUGGGGAAUAUUGCACAAUGGGCGCAAGCCUGAUGCAGCGACGCCGCGUGCGGGAUGACGGCCUUCGGGUUGUAAACCGCUUUUGAUCGGGAGCAAGCCUUCGGGUGAGUGUACCUUUCGAAUAAGCACCGGCUAACUACGUGCCAGCAGCCGCGGUAAUACGUAGGGUGCAAGCGUUAUCCGGAAUUAUUGGGCGUAAAGGGCUCGUAGGCGGUUCGUCGCGUCCGGUGUGAAAGUCCAUCGCUUAACGGUGGAUCUGCGCCGGGUACGGGCGGGCUGGAGUGCGGUAGGGGAGACUGGAAUUCCCGGUGUAACGGUGGAAUGUGUAGAUAUCGGAAAAGAACACCAACC
rnacentral:rRNA from 1 species